AUUCCCUAUGGGGUGCAGCAGGCGCGCAAACUUUACAAUGCGAGCAAUCGUGAUAAGGAAACCCUGAGUGCCUGUCGAUGCAGGCUGUUCAUAUAUCUAAAUCAUAUGUGAAGAAAGGGCAGGGCAAGACCGGUGCCAGCCGCCGCGGUAAUACCGGCUGCUCGAGUGAUGGCCACUAUUACUGGGUUUAAAGCGUCCGUAGCUUGACUGUUAGGUCUCUUGGGAAAUCUUCACGCUCAACGUGAAGGCGUCUAAGAGAUACCGGCAGUCUUGGAACUGGGAGAGGUAAACCGUACUUCGGGGGUAGGAGUGAAAUCUUGUAAUCCUCGAGGGACGACCUAUGGCGAAGGCAGUUUACCAGAACAGCUUCGACAGUGAGGGACGAAAGCUGGGGGAGCAAACGGGAUUAGAUACCCCGGUAGUCCCAGCCGUAAACAAUGUGCGUUAGGUGUGUCGGUAACCACGUGUUACUGAUGCGCCGAAGAGAAAUCGUGAAACGCACCACCUGGGAAGUACGGUCGCAAGGCUGAAACUUAAAGGAAUUGGCGGGGGAGCACCACAACAGGUGGAGCCUGCGGUUUAAUUGGAUUCAACGCCGGACAUCUCACCGGAUAAGACAGCUGAAUGAUUGUCAAUCUGAAGGUUUUACAUGACUAGCUGAGAGGUGGU
rnacentral:rRNA from 1 species